rnacentral:piRNA from 1 species
UAAGACUCUCAUUCUUGUAAA